GAUGAACGCUGGCGGCGUGCCUAAUACAUGCAAGUCGAGCGAAUGGAUUAAGAGCUUGCUCUUAUGAAGUUAGCGGCGGACGGGUGAGUAACACGUGGGUAACCUGCCCAUAAGACUGGGAUAACUCCGGGAAACCGGGGCUAAUACCGGAUAAUAUUUUGAACUGCAUGGUUCAAAAUUGAAAGGCGGCUUCGGCUGUCACUUAUGGAUGGACCCGGGUCGCAUUAGCUAGUUGGUGGGGUAACGGCUCACCAAGGCAACGAUGCGUCGCCGACCUGAGAGGGUGAUCGGCCACACUGGGACUGAGACACGGCCCAUACUCCUACGGGAGGCAGCAGUAGGGAAUCUUCCGAAAUGGACGAAAGUCUGACGGAGCAACGCCGCGUGAGUGAUGAAGGCUUUCGGGUCGUAAAACUCUGUUGUUAGGGAAGAACAAGUGCUAGUUGAAUAAGCUGGCACCUUGACGGUACCUAACCAGAAAGCCACGGCUAACUACGUGCCAGCAGCCGCCGUAA
rnacentral:rRNA from 1 species